AUGGUUCCUGGUAAGUCCUUGGUGCCCCACUGAUACUGCAUGUUCCUCAGUCAUGCAGCCUUUUGUCUGACUGCUUGCCACAGACAACAGAUCUCCAUUAGGAAAGUAGCUACAUUAUUUCAAUUAAUUAAAACACAUGUAUGCAUAAGAAGUUUGGUAUUUCGAUAGCUGACAUUUCACUAUGAAGCCACAUCUUCCUCCAGGCAGAACAGACCUAUACGAAUAGUAACAACAAUCUUAAACACAUUCUAAAUUAAAUUAUGACUGUCAUGUUUCAUUAUAACUUAAUUUAUGACUGUUUGCUUAAGCACUCAUUUUCAUUCAGAGCAUAGUAAUUUUUUACAUGAGCAGAGCAGUGAGCUUAAAUAUGAAUGGAAUUCCAGUAUGUCCCCCUACCGAAGUAUAAUUUUUAUCCCAUGGAUAUUGAUGCAUUUCAUGAUGAGUGAUGUUACUUGCUAAAAUCCAAGGAUUAUCUUUUUCUAGUAAAAAAUGUGGUGAAUUAUUUUCUUUCUUUUAGGAAAACCAGAUACUAAGAUAUGAUCAGAUAAAGGAUUGUUCAUCAUUAUUUUCCUUAUCUGCAUCUAAAAUUAUGUGCUGUGGAAUAUACAUACAUACAUUCACAACCUUCCAGGUCAUGCUGGUGAGAGAUCCCAUAUAAAGCAUUUGAGAAAUCUAGUAAUAUUGGGGUUUUAUUGUGUUGUACCAGAUUUUCAGAGGCCAGCAUCCAGCAGCUUUUCAAAUUUUGGCUUAUAAAGGCACAAUUAAUCUUUGGGCUGCAAUUCAGGAAUAGCAAUGUAAUCUUUCUUAUACUAUGUGUACCACUUAUUACAUCUAGACCUUUAUACCCAGAGGAAUAACAUAGAUGAAUUCAUUGAUUAUAUCUUUUUAAGCCUAAAAAGAGCUACAAUUUGUCAGGAAAGAAUAGCUGGAAGCAACAGAUAGUGACCUAAAUAGUAGAAUUCCAAAGAUAAAAUAGAAGAAAAUGAACACAAAUGCUUCAUUGUUUGAGAGCUGUAUUGUCUGCAACACACUCCAGUGAAUCCAGUGUUUGUGGAAGAGGCCAAGGCAGAUAGAAUCUGUGGAGCUAAAAAUGACAGCCUGAGUAAGUAGCCAUCAGAGAUGAAGCCAGGGAGACUCUGGCAAUUGUGCUGUAAAUCAUAACUGCAAUAUUUGUUCAAAGCUCCAGUUACUAUGCGUACUGGUGGUUUUGCCAGAGCAGUCAGAAAAGUCCUGCCUCAUAAAACACUUAAGGAUAUCGAAUGUACUGUUCUUGUGGACCUAAAUAUAAAUUUCUGACUAUUGUCUGAGUGUAAUGUCAGUGUGGUAGCUGGCAAACCAUUAAGGGCCCGAUUCUACUUUGCAGCAAUUCCCUUAAAGCACUGGAGGUAAUGGGGUGACUCAGGCAAAAGAAAAAUCAAGCCCAUGCAUUUCAUUAUUGUAAAAAACAACCAACCAACAUAUAUGCUUGGAAAUACAACAAAUCUGAAUUCCUGUAUUCCUUGUUACUUCUUAUAGGAUGCAUUGUACAUGGGUAAGGCCAGAUGUUUCUGUAAACUCUAAUGCUGUAAAUGAAGAUGACAUUAAUCCAAAUAACUAUUUUGUUAUUGAACUUAAAUAGGUGCUAGUGAUGAAUAAAUGAAACCAAAUUUUACAGAAGGACUAUGUUUUCUGUAUCACUUGCUCAAUUUUCACCAUACUGACUUGUGUGAUUUCAAUGUAAGCCACUCAUCAGAAGUGGCAGUCAAGCCAACAAAGCCCUCAAUUUCCAACAUACAACAUCAGAGGAACCCAGAAGCUUUUCCAUUUGUUUUUAAUGCCAGGUUUCCAACCAAUACUAAGAAAGGAAAAGAAAGCUAUGCUUGUUUAUGGGCUGGGGGCAAGGUAUCACAGACUCAAUUUCUCUACAAUUUUCUCCCAGGUCACAAAGGCUGACCUAGGCCCUUCACACAAUACAGCCAUCCAAAUCUCAUAUGGGCUUUUUGGAAACUCCUUGGUGCUUUUUUUCUCUCCAUCUCUUGGUAACUGCAAUCCCUCAAUGUCUGAUGUGGUCGUUAAGUGUUCUCUGUAGACCUAACUAGGAAUCAUGUCCUGUUAAGGCUUCCACAACAACCAGACUCCUACUCUUUGAUGGGAGACUCAAGCUAUCUGCUAAGUUUCAAAUUUACAUUUACUUUUAGUUAGAUCUUUUACUCUGAUAUCUUCUACAGUGUAAGUCAUCCACUACUGACAUUUCAGGAUCCCAAGUUUGAUGUGUUAAAGCUGUGCAAUCUAUAAUCUCUGGACGGUAUGGGGGGGGAUACUUGGACUGCUACUAACAGAUAUGUGCAGGGCAAGUGAGAACAGCAAGUUCAUAUAUGCUGUACAGCAAUCUGUGCAUGUGAAAUUUCUGAAAGGCUCCACAUCACCGAUAAAAAAUUUCUAGAGAUCAAAAGAGUCUGAAUACACUUCACUGAAGUGUCAAAUCUUGACAACAGAACACAUUAAAAAGAGUCUGGCCAAGUGACAGCUUUCUAAUAGAUAACUAUAGAGAUAUGAAGACAAGUUGGAGGACAGCCUGUAGGAAGAGUUAUGGAGGUGAAUGGAAAGAAAUUUGAAGAUGGUUUGAGAUAAUGUCAAUUGGUGUAGACCAGAUAAAGAGAGACCCUUUUUCAUCUUCUUGAGUAAGUCUGAGGUACCAACAAAAUUACAUAAAACACCUGCUAGUUAUAAAAAUGUCAAAUAAGCAUGCAUUGGGGAAAUGGAGAGAUUUAAACAUUCGUGAAAGGGUGAGAGACAUUCUUGGAAGACAUAUCGGAUGUCUUUGUCAUCUCAGCAAUUUGCCUGCCUGUGUUCCAGAAAGAACACAAGUGUUCUUGUGAGCACUGAAAGUCAUCAAGCCUGAUUUCCUACAGAUUAACUAAUGGACUUUCUGAAAGAUGCAAGCUCCAACUGAAGCGUUUGAGGUUGAGUCCCAUAGAAUGAGAACCCAAUGUGGAUUCUCUAGGGACUAAUAAGAACAAAUGAACACCUGAGCUUUUCUGCAGAUACAGGGAUUUUCUGGGGACUUUCUCUUCCAUUAUCUCACCCAGUUUCAUCAAGCUCCUGAAAAAUGCCAUUCUUUUUAGACUCUCCGAAGAACUGACCUUUCUCUCCCCCCGUAUACACAGUGAAAUUUGCCCAUCCUUUCCCUUUAUUGGUGGUGUUGUUCCCAUAAUGGCUUGAGCAUGUACAAGAAAAGAUUAGUUCUACCCUCCAAACCUGCCUGAUUUUUGUUAUUCACAGGAAGUCAGUCGGUUGAUUAACUAAUAAGUAAUUUGAUGUUAUUUCUGACCUAGGAAUGAGAAGAUGGGAGAGGGCCUACGACUUUUAUUCCUUGCUGAGUCUUGUGUGGAACCGUGUGCUUUUCUUCAUGUCAUGGUCGGUCAGCUACCUUAAUGCUGAUAGAAGCCACUGCCGGUCUGCUUGCUUGUAACUGCUGAAACCAUUGGACCUGCCCUGUUAUAUAUGUAAACAGCCUCCCUAAGGAGUGGAACACAGACAAGGACUCCGGAGACCAAGCUGCUCCUUCCUACUGCUUCCUGCUGGCUUUGCACAUGCUGAUCUCUAGGAGGUUUACACAAAGGCCAGUAAUGGUUUCCUUGUUCACCCUUACUGUGCCUUUUGCCUGGCAUCACUCAUGGUGUUGUGGAGAGCGGGAGGUGUUCUCAAAUGUCUGUAUUUUAGGGCCUUGCCAUGAAAAUGACACACCACCUUUGCAGCUGCAUCCCACCACAGGGAGAUGUGAGUUACCGCACUGAAUACACAGAAACAAUCCGUGUUCAACAGUCUAGCCAUACAACUGAAUUCUUAUUUACACUGACCUUACUUUACUGCAGUGAGUUAAGAACUGUUGCUCUGUGACAGUACCUUAGUCCUUGCUUACGUAAGGCUGCUGUUUGCUGCUUAACAAACCUAUUUCAAUAAAAGAGUGGCUAACAUCAAUCCCCGACUAAACAAUUUCUAGAAGAAAUAUAUAAGUUAGCAGAAUGCUUUUGGGUAGAUGAGGUUUAUUCUGGGACAUAACUGCUUAAAGAUGCAGACACAAAUGAAAUGGGCUACAUCGAAACACAAAGGGAUCUUCUUCACUACUUAAUUAUCUGGUGUAGUGACAUUGUAGUGGAUGUUAUUUGUAGAUCUUCAUUUAGGUAAAAAUAGCUAUAUGGCAGAUUGCUAUGGCAGCAUUCUUUUAUAAGGUUAUGCCAGGCACAGGGUCAAGGAUGUUUCUACUUUAUAGACCGUCAUGCUAUCUUCUAACUGCUCCAAAGGCAUCUAAAGUAAGAUUUACAUCCACACCGUGCCCUAACAGCUCCACAGGAACUCUAACUAGCCAUAAGUAAGUAAGGCCCAUAACCAAAAAUGCUGAGCAGCACCUCAGCUGGUGUAAAUUGUCAUAGUUCCUCUGUGGAGCUGGGGACACUUUACACAACUGGAGGAUUUGUUCCUCUGAAUGUGCAGAAAGUCGACCUCCAAUACAUAAAAUGUCCUUGCACACAGGAACACCCAGACUUUAUUUUGAGCUCCAUGGGAAACUUGUGAUUUCUCACUCCAGCCCCACAGGUGUGCUUUGCCUUUUAUUGGUCAAGGUCGGUAUUUGCAAUGGUCCACUGGGUAACAGAGAUGCCUUUUAAAGUUCCUUUCUAAGGUAUAUUCUAAAUGUGUCUG